AUUGAACGCUGGCGGCAUGCCUUACACAUGCAAGUCGAACGGCAGCACGGGUGCUUGCACCUGGUGGCGAGUGGCGAACGGGUGAGUAAUACAUCGGAACGUACCUUAUCGUGGGGGAUAACGCGGCGAAAGCUGUGCUAAUACCGCAUACGCCCUGAGGAGGAAAGCGGGGGAUCGCAAGACCUCGCGCGAUUAGAGCGGCCGAUGCCUGAUUAGCUAGUUGGUGGGGUAAAAGCCCACCAAGGCGACGAUCAGUAGCUGGUCUGAGAGGACGAUCAGCCACACUGGGACUGAGACACGGCCCAGACUCCUACGGGAGGCAGCAGUGGGGAAUUUUGGACAAUGGGGGCAACCCUGAUCCAGCAAUGCCGCGUGAGUGAAGAAGGCCUUCGGGUUGUAAAGCUCUUUUGUCAGGGAAGAAACACCGGCUCUAACACAGUCCGGGAAUGACGGUACCUGAAGAAUAAGCACCGGCUAACUACGUGCCAGCCGCCGCAGUAA
rnacentral:rRNA from 1 species